AAACGUAGGGGGCGAGCGUUGUUCGGAAUCACUGGGCGUAAAGGGCGUACAGGCGGCCAUAUCAGUCGGAUGUGAAAUUCCCGGGCUUAACCUUGGAUCUGCAUUCGAUACUAUAUGGCUAGAGAUCACGAGAGGAGGGUGGAAUAUGUGGUGUAGCGGUGAAAUGCAUAGAUAUCACAUAGAACACCAGUGGCGAAGGCGGCUCUCUGGCCUGAUUCUGACGCUGACGCGCGAAAGCUAGGGUAGCGAACGGGAUUAGAAACCCUAGUAGUCC
rnacentral:rRNA from 1 species